GGGUGAGGAAUACAUCGGAAUCUACCUUUUCGUGGGGGAUAACGUAGGGAAACUUACGCUAAUACCGCAUACGACCUACGGGUGAGAGUGGGGGACCGCAAGGCCUCACGCGAUUAGAUGAGCCGAUGUCCGAUUAGCUAGUUGGCGGGGUAAUGGCCCACCAAGGCGACGAUCGGUAGCUGGUCUGAGAGGAUGAUCAGCCACACUGGAACUGAGACACGGUCCAGACUCCUACGGGAGGCAGCAGUGGGGAAUAUUGGACAAUGGGCGCAAGCCUGAUCCAGCCAUACCGCGUGGGUGAAGAAGGCCUUCGGGUUGUAAAGCCCUUUUGUUGGGAAAGAAAUCCUGUCGAUUAAUACUCGAUGGGAUGACGGUACCCAAAGAAUAAGCACCGGCUAACUUCGUGCCAGCAGCCGCGGUAAUACGAAGGGUGCAAGCGUUACUCGGAAUUACUGGGCGUA
rnacentral:rRNA from 1 species